AAUGAACGUUGGCGGCGUGGAUUAGGCAUGCAAGUCGAGCGCGAUCAGUUUGGUGCUUGCAUUAAACUGUGAAAGCGGCGAAAGGGAGAGUAACGCGUAGUUACCUACCUCAGGGUUCAGAAUAGCCACGGGAAACUGUGGGUAAUGCUGAAUAACAUCUCCGGAUCAAAGGUGUGAUUCCGCCCUGAGAGGGGACUGCGUCCUACUAGCUUGUUGGUGGGGUAAUGGCCUACCAAGGCGUUGAUGGGUAGCGGGUGUGAGAGCAUGACCCGUCUCACUGGGACUGAGACACUGCCCAGACACCUACGGGUGGCUGCAGUCGAGAAUCUUCGGCAAUGCGCGAAAGCGUGACCGUGCGACGCCGCGUGCGGGAUGAAGGCCCUCGGGUUGUAAACCGCUGUCGUAGGGGAGGAAGGCUCCACGAAGAAUGGGGUUUGGCCUAUCCUAGGAGGAAGGACGGGCUAAGUUCGUGCCAGCCGCCGCGGUAA
rnacentral:rRNA from 1 species